UGGAAACUGUNUGACUUGAGUGCAGAAGGGGAGAGUGGAAUUCCAUGUGUAGCGGUGAAAUGCGUAGAUAUAUGGAGGAACACCAGUGGCGAAAGCGGCUCUCUGGUCUGUCACUGACGCUGAGGCUCGAAAGCGUGGGUAGCGAACAGGAUUAGAUACCCUGGUAGUCCACGCCGUAAACGAUGAGUGCUAGGUGUUAGGCCCUUUCCGGGGCUUAGUGCCGGAGCUAACGCAAUAAGCACUCCGCCUGGGGAGUACGACCGCAAGGUUGAAACUCAAAGGAAUUGACGGGGGCCCGCACAAGCGGUGGAGCAUGUGGUUUAAUUCGAAGCAACGCGAAGAACCUUACCAGGUCUUGACAUCCCGAUGCUAUUCUUAGAGAUAGGAAGUUACUUCGGUACAUCGGAGACAGGUGGUGCAUGGUUGUCGUCAGCUCGUGUCGUGAGAUGUUGGGUUAAGUCCCGCAACGAGCGCAACCCUUAUUGUUAGUUGCCAUCAUUAAGUUGGGCACUCUAGCGAGACUGCCGGUAAUAAACCGGAGGAAGGUGGGGAUGACGUCAAAUCAUCAUGCCCCUUAUGACCUGGGCUACACACGUGCUACAAUGGUCGGUACAACGAGUUGCGAGCCGGUGACGGCAAGCUAAUCUCUGAAAGCCGAUCUCAGUUCGGAUUGGAGGCUGCAACUCGCCUCCAUGAAGUCGGAAUCGCUAGUAAUCGCGGAUCAGCACGCCGCGGUGAAUACGUUCCCGGGCCUUGUACACACCGCCCGUCACACCACGAGAGUUUGUAACACCCGAAGUCGGUGAGGUAACCUUUUAGGGGCC
rnacentral:rRNA from 1 species